GGGCCCGUAGCGCAGAGGCAGGCGCAACGCUAUCCGCAUGGCGUGGACGCCGGUUCGAAUCCGGCCGGGACCA
rnacentral:tRNA from 1 species